rnacentral:tRNA from 1 species
GCCUGUUUGGUCUACUGGUUAAAGCACCAGGUUGGAAACCAGAAAGCUGUGGGUUCAAGUCCCGCCUUAGGCA